GACAGAGAUAUCAGGGAAUGUAUGCAGAUAUAUGUAUGUAUUUAUAAAAUGUUUUACAUAUUCAAAGCAGUUCCUUUAAAUGGUCGCCUUGGGGAAAUAUGCAUUUUCUAAACAGUUUUUUGGCUUAAAGGUACAACACUUUAAGUGUUCUUACAAUUAUCUCACCUUUCCAGGGAGAUUUUGUGGGGUGCUUUGGUUUUGGUUUUGGUUUUCUGGAAGAAAACAAAAAUAUUUGAAGCAAGUGAGAUCUGAAACUAUCAAGUAACAGCAAUAAUUUUCUUCUGAAAUUUGAAAUCUGUUCUAAGAACAAUUACGGAGGCGGGUGUGUGCUGCAGCAUGUUGAUUAAUAGGCCUGUGGGCACAUGCCUGCUAGGGUAGUGCUUGCGGUUUGUAGUCUUCAGAUGAAGCCCACUCUUGAGCAGUUCAGUGAAGGGCAUCAUCACGCAUUCAGUCAGCAAUUUCAUUACAAAGAGCCGAUGUGUAAAAGGCAAAGGGAAAUAAUGGCAAAUAAAGAUGUGGAGGUUGCAUCUCUUUAUACAGGGCUAAAAAAGAAAAAAGAAAACACACUUUAAGUCAUUUCGUAAAACCAAUUAAAGAGAAGCUAGUUGCUGAAAUCAAGAGGGGAAGGGCAAGGCCAUCUGUUUACAUUCUGUUCAGCCUUCUGCAUACCUCCUUGGUUAUGUCUUCAGAACUCUGGCUUCUUCUACACAGUAAAAUAUAAAGGAAGUUAAGGCCUGACUUGGAUUUGAACUCAGAUGAACUCUGGAAAUGGAAAUUACCAAGUAUGAUCAAGUCUCAGUUUCUUCAUGGAUACGACUCCAGCAUUGAAUAGAUUAAACAUGGCAGUGAAAUAAAUGUAUUUGUUCUAAUGACUGAUACUUUUCUGAAAUAACAAUCAUUUCACUACUGAAUUUUAAAACCACAGUUUUCAUAUUUAAGAGAACACUUUUUUUUCUUGAUCCCAAACUACCUUUGCUUAUGUCUAUUAGUACUCUUUGAUCCAUCUGCUAACCAGUAUUACUUAAAUAUAUUCUACACACAGAUCUGUACCAGCGAUUAGAGCUAAGUUAUGUUCAGAGAGGGUCUGUUUUAAGUGCAGUGGCGAGGGCUAUGCUGCGUUAUAGCACAAGGUACAACCAUAUCCAAGGAAAGUACACACAGAGUGUGCUAGCACCUCAUAGAGACAGAGGCACAUUCUGACAGGCCAGAGAGUGCUUCAUGCUUAGGGAGAUUGAAGACAGCAUGGAAGAGUAUCUUAUGUAGAAAAGUUAGGAACGUUAUAAAGCAAAAAAUGAGAGACUCUGAAGUGUGGAGUAUUUCAGAGAAACGCAGCUGUAUCAGUUGACUUACUGCCUAAAGGAAGUCUCACAAUUAAAACUUAGACCUUCUGGUGUAGUCUCCCCUCCCCCAGCCUGAAACCUGCUUGCUCAGGGGUGGAGCUUCCUGCUCAUUCGUUCUGCCACGCCCACUGCAGGAACCUGCGGAGCCACACACUUGCACCUUUCUACUGGACCAGAGAUUAUUCGGCGGGAAUCAGGUCCCCUCCCCCUUCCUUCAUAACUAGUGUCGCAACAAUAAAAUUUGAGCCUUGAUCAGAGUAACUGUCUUGGCUUAAUUCCUUUCUCUCACCACCUAGCCCCUCUUCUUUUCCAGGUUUCCAAAAUGCCUUUCCAGGCUAGAACCCAGGUUGUGGUCUGCUGGCCGGACACAACAUUCUGGGAAUCUGAGUUCUGCAAUGCUGAAAGAAUUAACAGUGGGUUUUGCUUAGUAGUCAGUAAUAAAGCACUGAAAGGUUUUGAUUGCAGAGUAACAUGGUGGAUGUCAGGAACGUCAGCAUGGUGCAUGUUCAGGAAGUCUAAAAUGGAGGCUGCCCAUAUGAACAUUGAAGCGAGAAAAAAAAAGGAAGUUAAAGGACCAACGGACAACUCAUGAAAGCUGAUGCACUAUUUUCUCCUCCUAAGGAAAAGUGAUGAACCACCCACUCUUCACUCACCCAUGUCAUAAUUACCAUGUGCAGGUCAUCAUAUUAGAUAAUAAGUGGGAAUCCCAGAUGUCUGUCAAUCAGAUCCAUACCUCCAAGACAAAGAAAAUAAAAAUCAAAAUGCACAGAGGACAAUACUGAUUUUCAUUAUUGAAAUAUUCAAAUGGUGACUGGGUUGUCAAAUUCAUCAAAGAAAUUAUAUAUUGACUGUGACACAGCUUUAUUGGACUGGGGAGAUAUCACUUCUUCGAUUGUGACAUCCAAAACUGUCUCCUGUCUGCAGAGACUGCUGAAAGUCCCCAGGGAAUAGAAGAUAAAAUCCCCUGCAGCUUGAACUACCGGAUUAGAAGGAAAUUUCUAAAUGAAACUUGCUAAUGAAGACAACACACUGCUGAGGAAAUAAUGGGAAAUUCAGUGUCGGCGGCUGAUACAACUAACUUGAAAUAAAGCAUUUUUGGAGUAGAGAAUAGUGAAAAGGUGGCAAAUCCCCAAAUCUGUAAGGGAAAUAGUUAAAUACAAGUUGCAUCCAGGGGCCAUUUAGCAUCCGGUGUUUUGGAUAUAGUUAAUAAAAAGGUAUAAGGAACAAUACCAGCCUUGGCACUAUAAAAAGCAAUCAAACUGUUUAGAUAUUUAAAUAAAAGUUUUUUUUUCAUUUUGUAGAAAUGCUAUUUGAAUGUACAAAUGGAAUUAAUAAAACAUGAUUUUGGAAAUGUCGGUGUGGUAUUUCUGGGCAAGGGUAUUAAGAGACAGUUUGAAGUGUGUGCUACAAUGAAGGAUAUAUCCUGGAAGAUAUUGGAGGCCCUGAAAACAGGUGUCUUGGUCAGAGAUGGGAGGAAAACACAAGUAUUUAACUCUAAACUUCAUGUCAGUGUCUGAGCUUAUAAGUUGUCAAGAUUGUCUCCUGGAGUUGAUGCUGUGGUAGAGCCAAUCAAUAGAUUUGCUCAGACACUAGGACUUUGUUUGGAAAGUUGCAGUUGAUAUUGCAGAAUGUUGAGGCCAAAGAUGAU
rnacentral:lncRNA from 1 species